UGUCUCCUCUCGGUGCGCGCAGCUUCGCGCGAGGGUCAGCGACGGGGCAGCGGCCGCCCGAGCCGCGCCGGCCCUGCCCACGAACAGGCUCCCGCGGCUCGACAGCUGCCCGACGGGCUAGCAGGCUGGGGACGUCGACGGAGCCCGGCCAGAGCCUCCCAAGGAGUCAAACGAAUGUGCCUGGUAGUAUUAUACUCAUGAGAAGGAUAGACAGCUGACGUAUGGAAAGGUUAAACAGCUUGCCUAAUUACUCCAGCAGAGAGGAUCCAGGGCUCUGCCAGGGCAGACCACAAAACCUCACAACAGAAAAAGGUUUGUGAGCACACUUGGGGUGAUGAGCACUGCGUGAUGUAUGGAAUCGUAGAAUCGCUGGACGGUACACCUGGAACUGACUUAUGCUGUAUGUUAAUUGGAAUUAAAAUAAAAACUAAAAAAAAGUU